AGCGAACGCUGGCGGCAGGCCUAACACAUGCAAGUCGAACGAACCUUCCGGGGUUAGUGGCGGACGGGCGAGUACCACGUGGGAACGUGCCUUUAGGACAGGAAUAACUUAGGGACACUACUGCUAAUACAGCCUGUGAACUUCGGGGGAAAGACCUAUCGCCCUGAGAGCGGCCCGCGGCUGAUUAGCUAGUUUGUUGAGGUAAUGGCUCACCACGGCGACCCUCAGUAGCUGGUCUGAGAGGAUGAUCAGCCACAUUGGGACUGAGACACGGCCCAAACUCCUACGAGAGGCAGCAGUGGGGAAUCUUGAGCAAUGGGCGAAAGCCUGACGCUGCCAUGCCGCGUGAAUGAUGAAGGUCUUAGGAGUGUAAAAGUCUUUCGCCGGGGACGAUAAUGACGGUACCCGGAGAAGAAGCCCCGGCUAACUUCGUG
rnacentral:rRNA from 1 species